UACGAAGGGGGCUAGCGUUGUUCGGAAUCAUUGGGCGUAAAGAGUAUGUAGGCGGCCUUGUAAGUCAGUUGUGAAAGCCCCGGGCUCAACCCGGGAAGUGCAAUUGAUACUGCUUGGCUUGAAUGUGGAAGAGGGUAGUAGAAUUCCCAGUGUAGAGGUGAAAUUCGUAGAUAUCGGAAGGAACACCAGUGGCGAAAGCGGCUUCCUGGUCCAGCACCGACGUCAGGCACGAAAGCGUGGGGAGCAAACAGG
rnacentral:rRNA from 1 species